rnacentral:ncRNA from 1 species
GUUAAACGGGGAGCUCGCGUAAGCGGGCUGAGAGUAAGCUGUACUGCUUAGACCCGCAGACCUGAUUUGGGUAAUGCCAACGUAGGGACA